UACGUAGGGUGCAAGCGUUAAUCGGAAUUACUGGGCGUAAAGCGUGCGCAGGCGGUUUUGUAAGACAGUGGUGAAAUCCCCGGGCUCAACCUGGGAACUGCCAUUGUGACUGCAAAGCUAGAGUACGGCAGAGGGGGAUGGAAUUCCGCGUGUAGCAGUGAAAUGCGUAGAUAUGCGGAGGAACACCGAUGGCGAAGGCAAUCCCCCUGGGCCUGUACUGACGCUCAUGCACGAAAGCGUGGGGAGCAAACAGG
rnacentral:rRNA from 1 species